GAAUAUUGGACAAUGGGCGAAAGCCUGAUCCAGCAAUGCCGCGUGAGUGAUGAAGGCCUUAGGGUUGUAAAGCUCUUUUACUGGGGAUGAUAAUGACAGUACCCAGCGAAUAAGCUCCGGCUAACUCCGUGCCAGCAGCCGCGGUAAUACGGAGGGAGCUAGCGUUGUUCGGAAUUACUGGGCGUAAAGCGCGCGUAGGCGGCUUACCAAGUCAGGGGUGAAAUCCCGGGGCUCAACCCCGGAACUGCCUCUGAAACUGGUAGACUAGAAUACUGGAGAGGCGAGUGGAAUUCCGAGUGUAGAGGUGAAAUUCGUAGAUAUUCGGAAGAACACCAGUGGCGAAGGCGACUCGCUGGACAGUUAUUGACGCUGAGGUGCGAAAGCGUGGGGAGCAAACAGG
rnacentral:rRNA from 1 species